rnacentral:rRNA from 1 species
ACAUGCAAGUCGAACGAUGAAGCUUCUAGCUUGCUAGAAGUGGAUUAGUGGCGCACGGGUGAGUAACGCAUAGGUCAUGUGCCUCUUAGUUUGGGAUAGCCAUUGGAAACGAUGAUUAAUACCAGAUACUCCCUACGGGGGAAAGAUUUAUCGCUAAGAGAUCAGCCUAUGUCCUAUCAGCUUGUUGGUAAGGUAAUGGCUUACCAAGGCUAUGACGGGUAUCCGGCCUGAGAGGGUGAACGGACACACUGGAACUGAGACACGGUCCAGACUCCUACGGGAGGCAGCAGUAGGGAAUAUUGCUCAAUGGGGGAAACCCUGAAGCAGCAACGUCGCGUGGAGGAUGAAGGUUUUAGGAUUGUAAACUCCUUUUGUUAGAGAAGAUAAUGACGGUAUCUAACGAAUAAGCACCGGCUAACUCCGUGCCAGCAGCCGCGGUAAUACGGAGGGUGCAAGCGUUACUCGGAAUCACUGGGCGUAAAGAGCGCGUAGGCGGGAUAGUCAGUCAGGUGUGAAAUCCUAUGGCUUAACCAUAGAACUGCAUUUGAAACUACUAUUCUAGAGUGUGGGAGAGGUAGGUGGAAUUCUUGGUGUAGGGGUAAAAUCCGUAGAGAUCAAGAGGAAUACUCAUUGCGAAGGCGACCUGCUGGAACAUUACUGACGCUGAUUGCGCGAAAGCGUGGGGAGCAAACAGGAUUAGAUACCCUGGUAGUCCACGCCCUAAACGAUGGAUGCUAGUUGUUGGAGGGCUUAGUCUCUCCAGUAAUGCAGCUAACGCAUUAAGCAUCCCGCCUGGGGAGUACGGUCGCAAGAUUAAAACUCAAAGGAAUAGACGGGGACCCGCACAAGCGGUGGAGCAUGUGGUUUAAUUCGAAGAUACACGAAGAACCUUACCUAGGCUUGACAUUGAGAGAAUCCGCUAGAAAUAGUGGAGUGUCUAGCUUGCUAGACCUUGAAAACAGGUGCUGCACGGCUGUCGUCAGCUCGUGUCGUGAGAUGUUGGGUUAAGUCCCGCAACGAGCGCAACCCCCUUUCUUAGUUGCUAACAGGUUAUGCUGAGAACUCUAAGGAUACUGCCUCCGUAAGGAGGAGGAAGGUGGGGACGACGUCAAGUCAUCAUGGCCCUUACGCCUAGGGCUACACACGUGCUACAAUGGGGUGCACAAAGAGAAGCAAUACUGCGAAGUGGAGCCAAUCUUCAAAACACCUCUCAGUUCGGAUUGUAGGCUGCAACUCGCCUGCAUGAAGCUGGAAUCGCUAGUAAUCGCAAAUCAGCCAUGUUGCGGUGAAUACGUUCCCGGGUCUUGUACUCACCGCCCGUCACACCAUGGGAGUUGUGUUUGCCUUAAGUCAGGAUGCUAAAUUGGCUACUGCCCACGGCACACACAGCGACUGGGGUGAAGUCGUAACAAGGUAACCGUAGGUGAACCUGCGGUUGGAUCACCUCCU